GUGGGGAAUAUUGGACAAUGGGCGCAAGCCUGAUCCAGCCAUGCCGCGUGAGUGAUGAAGGCCUUAGGGUUGUAAAGCUCUUUCGUCAGGGAAGAUAAUGACGGUACCUGAAGAAGAAGCCCCGGCUAACUUCGUGCCAGCAGCCGCGGUAAUACGAAGGGGGCUAGCGUUGCUCGGAAUCACUGGGCGUAAAGCGCACGUAGGCGGCUUUCUAAGUCAGGGGUGAAAUCCUGGAGCUCAACUCCAGAACUGCCUUUGAUACUGGAGAGCUUUAGUUCGGGAGAGGUUAGUGGAACUGCGAGUGGAGAGGUGAAAUUCGUAGAUAUUCGCAAGAACACCCGUGGCGGAGGCGGCUCACUGGCCCGAUACUGACGCUGAGGUGCGAAAGCGUGGGGAGCAAACAGGAUUAGAAACCCUAGUAGUCC
rnacentral:rRNA from 1 species